rnacentral:rRNA from 1 species
UACAGAGGGUGCAAGCGUUAAUCGGAAUUACUGGGCGUAAAGGGUGCGUAGGCGGCUUUUUAAGUUUGGUGUGAAAUCUCCUGGCUCAACUGGGAGGGUGCGCCGAAUACUGAGAAGCUAGAGUGUGGGAGAGGAAAGUGGAAUUCCUGGUGUAGCGGUGAAAUGCGUAGAUAUCAGGAGGAACACCGGUGGUGUAAACGGCUUUCUGGACCAUAACUGACGCUGAGGCACGAAAGCGUGGGUAGCAAACAGG